rnacentral:tRNA from 1 species
GGAUGUAGCUCAGCUGGUUAGAGUGACGGAUUGUGGUUCCGAAGGUCGAGGGUUCGAAUCCCUUCUUC